rnacentral:rRNA from 1 species
GAUGAACGCUAGCGGCAGGCUUAACACAUGCAAGUCGAGGGGUAUAGUCCUUCGGAACUAGAGACCGGCGCACGGGUGCGUAACGCGUAUGCAAUCUACCUUUUACAGGGGAAUAGCCCAGAGAAAUUUGGAUUAAUGCCCCAUAGUAUAGUUUUUUCGUCAUGAAGAGAUUAUUAAAGUACCAACGGUAAAAGAAUGAGCAUGCGUCCCAUUAGCUAGAUGGUAAGGUAACGGCUUACCAUGGCGACGAUGGGUAGGGGUCCUGAGAGGGAGAUCCCCCACACUGGUACUGAGACACGGACCAGACUCCUACGGGAGGCAGCAGUGAGGAAUAUUGGUCAAUGGACGCAAGUCUGAACCAGCCAUGCCGCGUGCAGGAUGACGGCGUUAUGCGUUGUAAACUGCUUUUUAUACAGGAAGAAACGACUCUUGCGAGAGGCAUUGGCGGUACUGUAUGAAUAAGCACCGGCUAACUCCGUGCCAGCAGCCGCGG